rfam:Colletotrichum fioriniae PJ7 Scaffold_308.1, whole genome shotgun sequence.
UCCUGAUGAGCAACUUAGAUGACGAGUCUGAUUUGGAUUUUCCAAUGCGGAUACAAACUUUUUAUACCAUUCAUGCAACGACUGAAU